UACAGGGGGUGCAAACGUUGCUCGGAAUCAUUGGGCGUAAAGCGCGUGUAGGCGGCCCGGUAAGUCCGCUGUGAAAGUCGGGGGCUCAACCCUCGAAUGCCGGUGGAUACUGUCGGGCUAGAGUGCGGAAGAGGCGAGUGGAAUUCCUGGUGUAGCGGUGAAAUGCGCAGAUAUCAGGAGGAACGCCAAUUGCGAAGGCAGCUCGCUGGGACGUGACUGACGCUGAGACGCGAAAGCGUGGGGAGCAAACAGG
rnacentral:rRNA from 1 species